GGUUAAGCGACUAAGCGUACACGGUGGAUGCCCUGGCAGUCAGAGGCGAUGAAGGGCGUGCUAAUCUGCGAUAAGCGCCGGUAAGGUGAUAUGAACCGUUAUAACCGGCGAUACCCGAAUGGGGAAACCCAGUGUGAUUCGUCACACUAUCAUUAACUGAAUCCAUAGGUUAAUGAGGCGAACCGGGGGAACUGAAACAUCUAAGUACCCCGAGGAAAAGAAAUCAACCGAGAUUCCCCCAGUAGCGGCGAGCGAACGGGGAGGA
rnacentral:rRNA from 20 species